AUAUUGGACAAUGGGCGCAAGCCUGAUCCAGCCAUGCCGCGUGUGUGAAGAAGGCCUUCGGGUUGUAAAGCACUUUCAGUGGGGAGGAAGGCUGUUUACCUAAUACGUAAGCAGAUUGACGUUACCCACAGAAGAAGCACCGGCUAACUCCGUGCCAGCAGCCGCGGUAAUACGGAGGGUGCAAGCGUUAAUCGGAAUUACUGGGCGUAAAGCGCACGUAGGUGGUUUGUUAAGCUAGCCGUGAAAUCCCCGGGCUCAACCUGGGCACUGCGGUUAGAACUGGCAAGCUAGAGUAGGGUAGAGGGGUGUGGAAUUCCAGGUGUAGCGGUGAAAUGCGUAGAUAUCUGGAGGAACAUCAGUGGCGAAGGCGACACCCUGGACUCAUACUGACACUGAGGUGCGAAAGCGUGGGGAGCAAACAGG
rnacentral:rRNA from 1 species